CAAUAUGAUAAAUAAGUGAAAAGGGAGAGAGAGAAUGAGAAAAUAAGAGAAUAAGAGAAAAAAUUAGUAUGAGAAAAAGUAUCAAUAGGAAUCAAGAGAUGGCGAUACGCUAGCUAACAAAGAACGUUGUUUGGACGACAAUAAUGCCUAUAAUCUAUUGCUAUUGUGAGAGAGAGAGGAAUAUGAGUUAUCGAAAAGUUCUAUUAUAGUUGUUAUUGUGAUUUAUAGUUAUAAUAAAGUUAUAUUAUUUAAAAUUAAAUAAGUUAUAUUAAAGUAAAGAAUAAGAAACGAAUAACCUUGACAUUUUGAAAAGGAGGUGUGAUAUUUUUAUGUUGGGACCUAUAAUCAAAUUGUUAAUUUGUUUCGUAUCUAUAAAAGAAGAAAUGUGCAAAAAUAAACGAAAAAAUAAGGAAUAUGGAACAAAGAAAGUUAGAAUGCGGAAGAAAAAAUGAAAGAAUGAAAAGAAAGAUAGAAAAAGAAACCAUUUGCAUGACAAUAUGUAACGAAUAAGAUUAUCCAAUUAUAUACAUGAUAUUUCGAAGCAAUUUCUCUAAAUGUAUAAUUUAUAUUAUCAAAAGAAAUAUUCUAGGGAGUUAAAAAUAUACUGGAGUCGAAGUCAAAAAAUAUUAACUGAUGGAAAAAAAUAAAAUUCACAGAUUAGCUUCGAUGAUUUUAUCAUAAAUGUUGAAAACCUGACAUUGCAGCAGUACAUCUUCGAAGAAGUGGAAAAUUAUAUUGGAAGAUAUCCAGAGAAUUUAGACUAUUGGUCAUGGCAUGUUAUCAAGCUAUAAAAUAUAUUGAACAUCACAGAACUUCAACUACUUUGCCUUGUAAAGCGGGACCUCUAAAAACUGAUGGAAAUAUCCACAAACUCGGAUACACAAAUAGAUUGUUUGACGAAGACUAGAAGUUUCAAUUAAAUGUUUUGCCAGUAAAAAAUCAUUUAUAUUAGAAAAAAUCUAUGAGCUAGAAUUGCUUUCACGAAAGAAUAUUUUAACUGACAGUGACCAACAGUUAUCAAACGUUGUAUUUACAGACGAAUUUAAAUUCAAUAGGUUUGCAUUUGAUGAGAAAAUGUAUAUUAGACAUCAUAUAGACGAAGAAUACCAUAAAGGUUGUUUAAAAGAAACUAUAAGAUGUCGUAGUGGAUCCGUCCUAGUAUAAAUGGCACAGACCUUCAUCAAAGGAAUAAUGGACAAAUUUAUAUACUUAGAUGUUGUAAAAUAUCAAUUAAUCCCAUUUACUGAAGAGUACAUGCUGAAAGAUUGAAUUUACCAAACGGAUAAUGAUUUUAAACACACCACACAUAUAAUAAAGACAUUUUUAAAUGAACAAAAUAUUAAUGUGAUGAAGUGGCCAGCACUUAAAUCCAGACUUAAAUCCCAUAGAGAUGUUAUGGAUUGACAUGAAUAAACAUGUGAAGAAGCAGGAACUAAAAAAUAUUAACGAAUUGUAUGCCAGAAUAGAAGAAGCUUGGUGUUUGAUACCGAUUACAGAUGGGGUCGAUGCAUUCGAUUUAUCAAAUCUAUGCCAUGCAGAGUAUGCUAGGAACUUGCAAAAAACGAAAUUACUUUGUGUUGUUAAAUAUGCAAAUACAUAAGAAAACAAAUUUUUGUUAACUGUAAUACAUGCUGCAUCGUAUCUAGCAUGGAUCACUACAAGAUAGUUGACACCAAAAUAUGAGAAACAAAAGUUUGAGUUCAUAGCCUACUUGUUCACAUGACAUUGAUAUUGUUUUAUAUAUACGCCUGAUAUUGCCGGUAACUGUAUAAGGUAAAAUCACAGAUUUUAAAAGAUUGGGCAAUUUUUGAUAGUAGGUUUUGCUAGUAAAAUCAGCACACGGUUAUUCGAUAAAAAUAAAUACAUAUAGAACGGAACAGAAAAGACAAGUCUCUCAUGUAUCAAUAUCUUAGGAUAUGCUAAGAUUUUUUUCCAUUUAUAUAUAUAGAGAUUUUCCAUUUAUAUAUAUAAUAGUUAUAUAUACAUAACUAUUAUAUGCAGAGUAUUUCCGAAAAUGUGGACAUAACUUCAGGGAUAGAUACUGUAUGCUAAAAUAAAAAAAAUUCAUAUAAACAUAUGGUUGAUAUGACCUUUGCGAUGUAUUAUACAACAACCAUUCUUUUACAAUUAUAGCCGUAUGCUUGGGAUUAUAAUCUUGCUGAAAAUAAAAAACCCUAAUUUCGUAAAAAACCUUAACUUUCUUUUAAAUUAUUUUUUAGAAUAUUUAAAUAUUUAUAUUUAUCUGAAAUACCAUCUGUAAAAACAAUAUUUCUAAUACCGUUUGUAACCAUACAUCCUCACAACAUCAUGGAACUAUCACCGUGUUUUACAGUCAGAUGUAAAUUUUUCACAUUCAUUUUUGAAUUGGGUUGUCUCCAAACAAAACGAGGUUCAUUCGAUCCAAAUAUAUUAUAUUUGCUUUCAUCAAGAAAAAUAACUUUAUCCCAAAAAACAUCAUCUUCAAUUAUAUAUUCUUUUACAAAUUUCAAACGCUUGGCUCGAUUUGUCUUAUUAAUAAAUGGUUUCUUUUUCGUAAUUCUACCAUGAAAAUCAUUGUCGCGUAAAAUCUUGCGACAUAAUUCAAAAUGAACAUUUAUAUUUUGACGCAACCAUUUGAGCAAGAUUUGUAGCCGAAGUAUUCGGAUCUUUUUUUAUUUCGCGUAUUAUAAUUUUUUCUUCUCUACGAGUUAAUUACUUUGGACGACCUAUACGAUGGUUGUUCGUAAUUGUUUUUUCGAUUUUUGAUUUUUUAAUAAUAUAAUGUAUAUUACAUAUACCCUUACAAAGUUCGGACAUUAACUCCAUCGAAAAUUUGUGGGCAGAAAUCGGCAAGAAAUUUAAAAAUUAUAAAAUAAUUUCGAAAGAUGUAUUAAAACAGAAGAUUGUAGAAGUAUGUAAUUCUAUAGAGUCUACAAUUGAAAAGCUAGUGCGCAGCAUGUAACAUCGUUCCAAAGCCAUAAUAAAUUAAUAGUGUUCGAAUACUUUUAUGACCCUGUUUCAAUACAUCUUCGUAAGAAAUGUUUCAUAACUUCCAUAAAUGUUAUUCGAUUCGCUUCAAAUGUUGUAUACAUAAUCUCGAUAGUUGUGUCUUAUAAUAGUUGUAACAUUACUUUCAGAAUUUAAGUCUAACAUGCAUAUUUUUAUUAUUUAAAGUUUUAAUAGCGAGCAUUUCAAUACUUUCGUAAGACAUUGUAUAUAUAUGUAAUAGCCUUAAGUUGUUUCGUGUUGUCAUGAUAAACAUUCUCUGUAUCAACGUUCUCCCUUUUUCUCUUUCUUUUUCUCUUUCUUUUUCUUUCUAAUAAUAACGCAUACAUGCAUAUACAGUAUGCAUUAUUGAAUAUAGACAUGUAAAUUUGAUAUAUCGAGUCAAAUACUUUUCAACAAAAUUUUACGUCCUUUAAAUUUUCGUCACAAAAAUUCAUCUUAAAUAUCACACAAACAUUCGUAAAAUAUUUUUUUAUUUAUUUUUUAAAUAAGAUAAAUUUUGUCGAGAUAAAAUAUUUAUUUGGGAAUAUGAGGAGCUAGAUUUUAUUAAUAUCAAAACAAAUAUUGCAUUGGAGAUGUGAAGUAACUAAUGUAUUGUAGGCGGAAGGCUUCGAAGAGUUGCGGUAAGAGAAAAAUAUGCGACGUAAACAGUUUCGACAUUUUUGACCGACUGCUUGAAAAAACCAAAAGUAAAUACAACCGAUCAAUUCUGUAGUAUCUAAGUAGCGUGUAUGUACUAUAUGCCUGUAGUACGUGAUUAAAAAAAGUAAACGAACUGACAAUAAGACGAACCAACAGGAGUUAUUUUAGGUAGGUAUCGACGGUUAAUGUCGGAUACGAGUUACGAGCUAAAUGUGUAUAUCAAAGAAUGCUGCAUAAAUAUCUAUUAUUAAAGUAUAUACAUUGAUAUUGGCAAUAAAAAUACUAUAGGAUAUUACAGUUUCCAUUGGAGUUGUAAUAAUAGAUAAUGCCAGACGUCGCGUACCCUUACACGACGUGUAAGGCACUAGGAAUAUCGGAUAUGUCCAUAUACAAACCGCUUAAUAAAAUAAAAUUUUAGAAAUUGUCGUCUCAAUAAGAUCGUGUAAAAGCGUAAAAAUAAUAUUACACGCUCUUACGAAAUUGUAUGGAGAUAUCUUCGAGGUAGUAGAACACAGACCCGAUCUGCUACGACUGACUUAUCUUCUUUCCGGAAGAAGUUCUGUUUAUGCAUAAAUCGUAGGUGUAUAUGUGUAAGAACUUAUCUUCGCAAAAUUUUCUCGUUACUUUAUACGCUUUAAAGAAGCACGUUAAAUAAUAUACAUAAUAUAUUUAAUGUAAUAUAAUAUUUUAUAAUAGAAUAAAAAGCUGAAAAGAUGAAUUUGGUGAAAACUGUGCCUUGAUCGACUUAUCGAUGAGGAUCCACAAAUAUCACAUUGUCUCGAAUUUGACAAAUGCGUAAGAAAAAACAAGCGAUGUACAAUUUAUUUUUUUUAUAUUUAUUUUAUUUAUUUUAUUUUAUUCACCACUUGUAAUAUCUGUAGUAGUAACGAGAAUCGUUUUCAGUUUUCUAUUUCACUAAAGACAGCGAGGUCAGGCUCAGGGAACUGUAAAAUUCUUUAGAUUCUUUCGAAGUAUUCAAAAAGGGAAACGGAUCACCAAACCGAGUUAUGAUUACGCUUAUAUCUUUCUCAUGCGCGAGGACAUAGCUAUUUUUCUUAUGAUCGGGGUAAUAAUAAACUUUUAUCUAUUUAUAUAUUAUAUAAAUAAAUGAAAAACAUACUUUGGAGUAGCAUAUAUAUGUAUAUUGAGUCAAAAAUAGUAGACGAUAUAAAAAAGCAACUGUGUCUAAUGUAACUUAAAAGAAAUAACGUGUUAAAGAACAGCAAUGUAAUAAGAAAAUUAAUUAUUACGUAAAGAUAGAUGCGUGAUAAUAAAUAUUAUGUUACUCUGGAUAUUAAUUAUACCUAAUGGAUUAUAAGCAAUGAUAUAUGUUUAAUUAAAAAAAUUAUGAGAAUAUCACAUUCCAUGUUAGAAAAUGAAUAAAAUAAUUCUGAGAGAUCAUUAUCAAAACAACUUCCCUACUUUGUAAAUUACAAUUUUGCAGAUAAAGCUCUUAUAUCAUUUCCUUGAUUAGCACACA